rnacentral:tRNA from 1 species
GCGGGUGUAGUACAUCGGUAGUACGCCAGCCUUCCAAGCUGGAUAGGUGGGUUCGACUCCCAUCACCCGCU